rnacentral:lncRNA from 1 species
CUGGGUCUGCGUGCAUGAGUGCUUGAGGGUAGUGGCUGUGAAGGAUUCUCAUUAUCUCUCGAUUGCGCAACACAUACAUUCUCUUGUAAACUUGCAGGAAGAGCGUGAGGAAGAAGAAGACAGGAUCGUGCAGAAUGCAUACACUGAUGGUCAUGUUGGUGUUGCUUUCGUUCUUGCUGUUUGGUAUUGUGAGCGCGCAAGGUGAGAUUCGUAUUAGUCUUGUCCCCCUUGCGGUUGUGAGUUGGUCACGCUCUGACGGAUUUGCACUCCGUCAUGAGAUUUGAAAUGUUUGGAAUCAUGCAAACUGUCUCCCAUGAAAAAUUUGAGCGAGGUUAGCUUUAGAAUGGUUCAGCAUGGUUCUACAUGCUGCAUGCAUAGUAGGGUUUCACGAGGGCUUACUUGUAUCUUUAUCAACCUAAAAAUAGUCGAUAGGCUGUGAAAAUGAAGAUUACAAGUCAUUUUUUACGAUUGUAGCGUUGUUAUUUUUUUCUUUUUUUGCCUCGUGCUCUUUCCACAGAAGAUUAUGUGAACUGGUCAUCUGUGGUACUUAUUGUGACUUAUGUGGUAAUCGCAGGUGGGAACCCAUGUGACCAAGGUGACUCACAUGCUCACUGCUAUUGCUCCACUGUACAGUGGGGUACAGAAAUAAUUCGAAUUUUUUUCCAAAGUGAAUCAGUGUUAGAAAUCACUGAACUUCAAAAAGCUCCAGCAGUUUCAAAAAUGAACGCAUUUUUGAGCAGUAAAGUGCAUUGCGAAGAUAGUAGAAUCUAGUUUCAUGGUGUAACAAUUUUUCAUUAUAAAAUUGUGAAAAUAUACAUCAAGAGAGCUUUUUGUUACAUACUAUCU